rnacentral:rRNA from 1 species
GACGAACGCUGACGGCGUGCCUAACACAUGCAAGUCGAGCGAGUGGAGUUCUUCGGAACAAAGCUAGCGGCGGACGGGUGAGUAACACGUGGGCAACCUGCCUCAUAGAGGGGAAUAGCCUCCCGAAAGGGAGAUUAAUACCGCAUAAGAUUGUAGCUUCGCAUGAAGUAGCAAUUAAAGGAGCAAUCCGCUAUGAGAUGGGCCCGCGGCGCAUUAGCUAGUUGGUGAGGUAACGGCCCACCAAGGCGACGAUGCGUAGCCGACCUGAGAGGGUGAUCGGCCACAUUGGGACGGAGACACGGCCCAGACUCCUACGGGAGGCAGCAGUGGGGAAUAUUGCACAAUGGGGGAAACCCUGAUGCAGCAACGCCGCGUGAGUGAUGACGGCCUUCGGGUUGUAAGGCUCUGUCUUCAGGGACGAUAAUGACGGUACCUGAGGAGGAAGCCACGGCUAACUACGUGCCAGCAGCCGCCGUAACAC